GACGAACGCUGGCGGCGUGCUUAACACAUGCAAGUCGAGCGGUAAGGCCCUUUCGGGGGUACACGAGCGGCGAACGGGUGAGUAACACGUGGGUGACCUGCCCUCAGCUCUGGGAUAAGCCUGGGAAACUGGGUCUAAUACUGGAUAUGACUCCACGGUGCAUGUCGUGGGGUGGAAAGCCUUGUGCGGCUGAGGAUGGGCCCGCGGCCUAUCAGCUUGUUGGUGGGGUGANGGCCUACCAAGGCGACGACGGGUAGCCGGCCUGAGAGGGCGACCGGCCACACUGGGACUGAGACACGGGCCCAGACUCCUACGGGAGGCAGCAGUGGGGAAUCUUGCGCAAUGGGCGAAAGCCCUGACGCAGCGACGCCGCGUGAGGGAUGACGGCCU
rnacentral:rRNA from 1 species